rnacentral:rRNA from 1 species
CCUGAGAAACCCAAAAGAUCGAAUGGGGAGAUUCAUCGUCAGCGAUUUUGGUACGUGUGCGGCUCGCGAUGCCGGAGACUUCGGUCUCCAGGCACGCGUCCGCAUGUUUUUUAUUGCCUCGAUCGUCGGCGUGCACUUCUCCCYUAGUAGGACGUCGCGACCCGUUGGGUGUCGGUCUACGGCCCGGGCGGUAGCCUGUCUCGUGUUCGCUUCGCGGCGUUACGCGGUUCAGACCCCCGGUUGCCCGACCGGCUUGCUCGGCGGUACUCGCACGGUAUCUGGCCGCAAAUAUUCGAACUGCGUCCGGCCCGUCGCAAGCGAGGCAAGUGUUUCCCGGUUGUACGGAUCUAAUGCCGUCACCGGGCCUUGCCAGCUGUUGGUUGACGGUGUCCUAGGACUGGCUAAUAAAAUUAUGAUACCGGUCGGCGACGCUACUGCUUUGGGUACUUUCAGGACCCGUCUUGAAACACGGACCAAGGAGUCUAACAUGUGCGCGAGUCAUUGGGAACUAUUAAGCCUAAAGGCGCAAUGAAAGUGAAGGUCGGCCUUGCGCCGACCGAGGGAGGAUGGGCCGCGUCACGAUGCGGUCCCGCACUCCCGGGGCGUCUCGKUCUCA